GAGGAAUAUUGGUCAAUGGGCGUUAGCCUGAACCAGCCAAGUAGCGUGAAGGAUGAAGGCUCUAUGGGUCGUAAACUUCUUUUAUAUAAGAAUAAAGUGCAGUAUGUAUACUGUUUUGUAUGUAUUAUAUGAAUAAGGAUCGGCUAACUCCGUGCCAGCAGCCGCGGUAAUACGGAGGAUCCGAGCGUUAUCCGGAUUUAUUGGGUUUAAAGGGAGCGUAGGUGGACUGGUAAGUCAGUUGUGAAAGUUUGCGGCUCAACCGUAAAAUUGCAGUUGAUACUGUCAGUCUUGAGUACAGUAGAGGUGGGCGGAAUUCGUGGUGUAGCGGUGAAAUGCUUAGAUAUCACGAAGAACUCCGAUUGCGAAGGCAGCUCACUGGACUGCAACUGACACUGAUGCUCGAAAGUGUGGGUAUCAAAC
rnacentral:rRNA from 1 species